rnacentral:rRNA from 1 species
GAAGAGUGAGCUAGCUANCUGAAAACACAAAAUCACAAAAUGUGCUUAUNGUGAUAACGUAAGGGAAAAAAAUGAUAUUACCUUACUAUAAGUGUUGUCUAAAUAACUGGUGCCAGAAGACUCGGUAACACCAGAAACGCGAACGUUAGUCGUCUUAAACAGGCGUAAAGGGUAAGUAGGCCGCUUUAAAGUCUAUUUUUAAAUAAGCUAAUUAAUAAUUUUCCUCCCCUAGCUUACUAGACCUAAGGUGCUUCGCACUAAGAAGGAUUUAGCUUUAGUUUUAUCUUUAUUAAUUUAAAAUAAAAUUAAAGAUUUGUCCAUCUCGCUAGUUCGAAGGACUCCGCUAGGGAGGGACCGGAAAAAAAAAUUUUUUUUAAUCUGAAAUACCUGAAUUUAUAAUUUAAGGCUAACUUAAAAAUGAAAAAGGGUAUUAUUAGGAAUCGCAGCCUAAAUUAUAUCAAUUAUUAAUGGAACAAAAAAUAGAUACACUUAAAGCUAGAAUCAUAAUUGAGAUAAACCAAAUAAUGCUUAUGUGUAAGGGCGAUAUCUGUUAAAUACUAAGUAGAAAUACUACCGGUGAAAACUUUUUAUCUGGUAAUGAUUGACGCUGAGGUACGAAAGUGAGAACAGGGAAUAGGAUUAGAUACCCAGUUACCUCUCACCGUCAACGAUGAAUGGUAGUGUUAGUUUAUUUNAAUUAG